AAGUCGUAACAAGGUUUCCGUAGGUGAACCUGCGGAAGGAUCAUUAAACGUAUCCACGUAUAACCCAAUGCGAACUGUUUUUACAAACAAACAAACUUGCAAAUGGUGCGCGCUUGAGAUCAGCGUGAGUGCACAGGUGAACCAGAUAAACUCUUGAGAGCUUCGGUUUUCUCGGGUAGGUUCAGAGCUCUGUUGGUCGAUGCCACGUAUUGUAGGUUUUCCUUGAAUCCUGUGAUGUUUUAUUUACUCAUUAAAACUCUUUGUAACCACUUGAUGAACAUUCGUGGGAAUUUUUCAUUACUUUUCCCACGUAAAAAAACUAAAAAAAUGAAACUUUUACGCACAACUCUUAACAACGGAUAUCUAGGCUCUC
rnacentral:misc_RNA from 1 species